UACGUAGGCAGCGAGCGUUGUUCGGAAUUACUGGGCGUAAAGAGUGUGUAGGCGGUGCUCUAAGUUCGGUGUGAAAUCUCCCGGCUUAACUGGGAGGGUGCGCCGGAAACUGGAGUGCUCGAACGUGGGAGAGGAAAGCGGAACUCCCGGUGUAGCGGUGAAAUGCGUAGAUAUCGGGAGGAACACCUGCGGUGUAGACGGCUUUCUGGACCAUUGUUGACGCUGAGACACGAAAGCGUGGGUAGCAAACAGG
rnacentral:rRNA from 1 species